UACGUAGGGUGCAAGCGUUAUCCGGAUUCACUGGGCUUAAAGGGUGCGUAGGCGGGCAGGUAAGUCCGUGGUGAAAUCUCUGAGCUUAACUCAGAAACUGCCAUGGAUACUAUUUGUCUUGAAUACUGUAGAGGUAAGCGGAAUAUGUCAUGUAGCGGUGAAAUGCUUAGAUAUGACAAGGAACACCAGUUGCGAAGGCAGCUUACUGGACAGUUAUUGACGCUGAGGCGCGAAAGCGUGGGGAUCAAACAGG
rnacentral:rRNA from 1 species